AACAGCGGAGAGUUUGAUCCUGGCUCAGGAUGAACGCUAGCGACAGGCUUAACACAUGCAAGUCGAGGGGCAGCGGUGGUGAAGGCUUGCCUUUACCAGCCGGCGACCGGCGCACGGGUGAGUAACACGUAUGCAACCUGCCUGCCACAGCCGGAUAAUCGGGAGAAAUCCCGUCUAAUAC
rnacentral:rRNA from 1 species